rnacentral:rRNA from 1 species
GUCAGGAAUAUUGCGCAAUGGAGGAAACUCUGACGCAGCGACGCCGCGUGGGUGAUGAAGGCCUUCGGGUCGUAAAGCCCUGUCGGAGGGGAAGAAAAGCUCGCUGGCUAAUAUCCAGCGGGCCUUUGACGGUACCCUCAAAGGAAGCACCGGCUAACUCCGUGCCAGCAGCCGCGGUAAGACGGAGGGUGCAAGCGUUGUUCGGAUUGACUGGGCGUAAAGGGCGUGUAGGCGGUCGGUCCAGUCCGGUGUGAAAGCCCGGGGCUCAGCCCCGGAAGUGCAUCGGAAACUAGCCGACUUGAGCGCGAUAGAGGAGGGUGGAAUUCCUGGUGUAGCGGUGAAAUGCGUAGAUAUCAGGAGGAACACCGGCGGCGAAGGCGGCCCUCUGGAUCGUUGCUGACGCUGAGACGCGAAAGCGUGGGGAGCAAACAGGAUUAGAAACCCCAGUAGUCC